GACGAACGCUGGCGGCGUGCUUAACACAUGCAAGUCGAACGGAAAGGCCCUGCUUUUGUGGGGUGCUCGAGUGGCGAACGGGUGAGUAACACGUGAGUAACCUGCCCUUGACUUUGGGAUAACUUCAGGAAACUGGGGCUAAUACCGGAUAGUAGCUCCUGCUGCAUGGUGGGGGUUGGAAAGUUUCGGCGGUUUGGGAUGGACUCGCGGCUUAUCAGCUUGUUGGUGGGGUAGUGGCUUACCAAGGCUUUGACGGGUAGCCGGCCUGAGAGGGUGACCGGCCACAUUGGGAAUGAGAUACGGGCCAGACUCCUACGGGAGGCAGCAGUGGGGAAUAGUGCAAAAUGGGCGGAAGCCUGAUGCAGCAACGCCGCGUGCGGGAUGACGGCCUUCGGGUUGUAAACCGCUUUCGCCUGUGACGAAGAGUGAGUGACGGUAAUGGGUAAAGAAGCACCGGCUAACUACGUG
rnacentral:rRNA from 1 species